AGGGCUAUAGUUAAUAAAUAACAUUUAAUUUGCAAUUAAAAAUUGCCUUACAGCUUGCCUUA
rnacentral:tRNA from 1 species